AGGUCAAAUUGUCGGUCGUGCCUCGGUACGUACUGGCAUUAUUGAUUUCUCCUUUCUGACGAACCGCGAUGUCAUUAAUUUGGUGUCGUGGGGAAUCAGGACUUUUACUUUGAAAAAAUUAGAGUGUUUAAAGCAGGCUCACGCUUGAAUACAUUAGCAUGGAAUAAUGAAAUAGGACGUUUGAUUCUAUUUUGUUGGUUUCUAGGAUCGACAUAAUGAUUAAUAGGGAUAGUUGGGGGCAUUAGUAUUCAAUUGUCAGAGGUGAAAUUCUUGGAUUUAUUGAAGACUAACUACUGCGAAAGCAUUUGCCAAGGAUGUUUUCAUUAAUCAAGAACGAAAGUUAGGGGAUCGAAGACGAUCAGAUACCGUCGUAGUCUUAACCAUAAACUAUGCCGACUAGGGAUCGGAUGAUGUUAAUUUUUUAAUGACUCAUUCGGCGCCUUACGGGAAACCAAAGUGUUUGGGUUCCGGGGGGAGUAUGGUCGCAAGGCUGAAACUUAAAGGAAUUGACGGAAGGGCACCACCAGGGGUGGAGCCUGCGGCUUAAUUUGACUCAACACGGGGAAACUCACCAGGUCCAGACAUAGUAAGGAUUGACAGAUUGAGAGC
rnacentral:rRNA from 1 species